rnacentral:tRNA from 1 species
GCGGAUAUGCUGGAAUCGGUUUACAGGCAACGUUGAGGUCGUUGUGUUCGAAAGAACAUAAGAGUUCAAGUCUCUUUAUCCGCA